UACGUAGGUGGCAAGCGUUGUCCGGAUUUAUUGGGUUUAAAGGGUGCGUAGGCGGUCUAUUAAGUCAGUGCUGAAAUAUCCCGGCUUAACCGGGAGGGUGGCAUUGAUACUGAUGGACUUGAGUGCAGUCGAGGUAGGCGGAAUUGACGGUGUAGCGGUGAAAUGCUUAGAUAUCGUCAAGAACACCGAUAGCGAAGGCAGCUUACUGGGCUGUAACUGACGCUGAUGCACGAAAGUGUGGGGAUCAAACAGG
rnacentral:rRNA from 1 species